rnacentral:lncRNA from 1 species
UAGGCACCAGCACUUAAAGUUACCCCGUUCUCUGCUUCAGUAGGCAGUAGGAGCUAGAGGAUGGGCUGGAAGAAGAAGCAGUGGUUAGGAGGAUGUAGGAAGCUGGCAUGUUAGACCCUUGGGAGCAGAGUGAGAAAAUGCUGAGAAACAGUGGACACCCUCUUCCCAAGUAGUGCUACAUCAGUUCCCAGAGGGAUAGAUUUAUUAUCUUGCCAAUGAUAUAUCUUUUGUGAAGGUUUAUUAAUGAAAUUCUGUAUUCAGCUCCGAGUCCAUUGCAAGAUAUCUUCUUUCUCACAUGGAUGCAACAAUAAUCUAAUUGUGGAGGAAAAGACUUGAGAAGAAUCCAAGAAUCUGCGACCUGGUUCUGUAUUCUGCUGACAGGAGGAACCUUUAGAGGUCUUCCGUAAUUAUACUCAUAGAGGGCUUGAAAGUGACACACAAAUAUUAACAGAACUCCUGCAGUGUGAAGUUUGGGUAGUUUUACUGAAAACACAGUUCUAUUUGGAAAUAUUUGCAGUUGUGAAUGAGAAUUAUGGUUCUCGGUACCAGGAAGCUUUUUCCUUUCUCAGGCCCACCCACAGACUCAUCUCAGUCUUUAUCCUCCGCACACAGGAUCUGUGGACCUGUGGAGUGGGAAAGGAUCCGUGUACCUCUUUCCAGAUCUAAACUCUCAACACCUGCAUGCUCUGCCAAGUGUUUUCCUUGUGCAUUCCUCAGGAGCUGUGGAGGAUUCCAUUAAUAUUUUCAAAGAAAGAGAAUUGAAAAUCUGGGUCCUUGAAGACAUAGCAGCAUAAUGGCCGGUGAUGAACUCUCAAAAGAGCAAGAAAUGAAUGAGUUCUGUUAGGCCAAUGUCCCUAACUAGUCCAUUACAUCAGCAAGUACCAAUGCAGCAAUGGUUCCUGAAGUUUGAGCCUCUGAUGUAGUCCAGGGAAAGGAAAUUCAGAUAAAGAAGCCAAGACAUCCAUGCAUGGUACAGCCUUCUCCACAUGCCAUUCAGAAAUGGACUGUGGGAGACUUGCAGAGCUCUGCUUGGGAUCUCCUUCAUCCUACUCAUGCAUGGUACGUAGGAAAAUGGCUUUCCAAAUUUAGCAACUGGGACAUUCAUUGAAAGGCCACACCAGUUUCUGCUUAUUUUCUUUGUCUUUCUGUACUCAUUUAUAAUAUUUUAAAUGUUUUCAAUAUUUUAGAUGUAUCUGCCAUGACAUCCUACAGACAAUUUUAUUAUAAUAUAUGUUUUGCUAUGUUUCAGUGUUUUUAUGUUUGAUGAAAAAAAUAUAUAUAAACAAAAUUGAUUACAUUUAAAUCACAAAGAAGAGACACAUAGAAAGCUGAUGACAUGAAUAGACACUAUUUUUUCCAAUCAAAAUACUCAUGAAACAAGGUACUUUUUUCAAACAGGAAUUUAAAUUCCUAAUUUUAAUUCCUCAAGAAAGGAAUCAUUUUUGUGUAAAUGUUUUGCAGUAUGUAACAUCAGCAUUCUUAUAAAAGCUGGAAGAAUCUCUAGCUAAGAGAUAUAGGAAUUUGGCAAAAUGUCCAUUUGGUUCAUAAAUAUUUACUAAAGUAGAUUUCAUAAAAGAGGCACCAUAUGAAUUUGGGGUGAGAAGUAAUACAAAGUCUGGUUCAUAAUUUUAUUUCCUUUCUACUAGCAAAUUAAUUAGGUAUAUUUCACAUAUUAUACUUAUCAUACAUAGCACUUCAUGAAUUUUUAUCUGUGGUUCAGAAUAAUCAUGACAAAUAAUGAUAUAAGUCAAAGUCUAUAGAAGCCAAUUUCCCAAGUCAUCUCAUCACGCCACGGAAACACAGAUGCUCUGGUCUGUGUCUCAGUGACUGCCACAGAAGAUUGUGUGUGCUUAAGGUUGUAUCUUUAGGUUCUAUCUUCAGGAAGACUUUUUCAACAGUAAUGCCCUUUUAAUGAGAAAUCAAAAGCAGUCUUCAAGAAGCGUUUAUAGGUACCUGUGGGCUUUCUGGAGAAACUCUGGACAGUUCACCAGACACAGAAAUGAAUAAUUUAAGUGUUCUGAGCUCAAUCUUGCUUUAUACUGAGGUCCUCACUGCACAAUGAUUAUAAUGUCAUUAAAAAUAAUGAGUGUCUACAGAUGAGUGUUGCUCUGCUUACUUCAAUGGCUAUUUUUCUUAAAAGAACUAAUAGUAUUCAUGCAAUUGACAUCAUAAGACUCGGUGACUCUUGCUUACUAUCAUGUCUGUGCCUGUUGUGCUCAGUCAAGAUACCCUCACCAGAAUACAGGGGCAUCUGGAGCCAUGGUUCAUGAGUCAGCACCAAGGCCUAUGAGAAACCAGGGCAGACCCCUUGUUCAUACACUUCUCUGGUUAGUCUCAAUCUUAUCCCCAGUAUGAUAUAAACUAUUUCAUUAUUGUCACAUUGAUAUGGGUGUUCAGGAAAUAUUUUGGUAUUCUGAAUAUCAAGUUCCAAUCUUUGUGUGAUUUAUCAUUAAAUACUUUGACAAGA